rnacentral:rRNA from 1 species
UCGAGCGAGGUAGCAAUACCUAGCGGCGGACGGGUGGGUAACGCGUGGGAACAUACCCUUUGGUACGGAAUAGCCUCGGGAAACUGGGAGUAAUACCGUAUGUGCCCUUCGGGGGAAAGAUUUAUCGCCAAAGGAUUGGCCCGCGUUGGAUUAGGUAGUUGGUGGGGUAAUGGCCUACCAAGCCGACGAUCCAUAGCUGGUUUGAGAGGAUGAUCAGCCACACUGGGACUGAGACACGGCCCAG